AUUGAACGCUGGCGGCAGGCUUAACACAUGCAAGUCGAGCGAGCGGCGGACGGGUGAGUAAUGUCUGGAAAACUGCCUGAUGUAGGGGGAUAACUACUGGAAACGGUAGCUAAUCCCGCAUACCAUCGGAUGUGCCCAGAUGGGAUGAGCUAGUAGGUGGGGUAAUGGCUCACCUAGACGACGAUCCCUAGCUGGUCUGAGAGGAUGACCAGGCACACUGGACUUGAGACAGGGUCCAGACUCCUACGGGAGGCAGCAGUGGGUAAUAUUGCACAAUGGGCGCAAGCCUGAGGCAGCCAUGCCGCGUGUGUGAAGAAGGCCUUCGGGUUGUAAAGCACUUUCAGCGAGGAGGCGUUACUCGCAGAAGAAGCACCGGCUAACUCCGUGCCAGCAGCCGCGGUAAUAC
rnacentral:rRNA from 1 species